AGUGAACGCUGGCGGCGUGCUUAACACAUGCAAGUCGAACGAGAACGGAUUAUAGCUUGCUAUAAUUGUCAGCUAAGUGGCGCACGGGUGAGUAAUGUAUAGGUAAUAUGCCUCUUACUAAGGGAUAACAAUUGGAAACGAUUGCUAAUACCUUAUAUUCCUUUUUAUCAAAAGAUAAAAAGGGAAAGAUUUAUUGGUAAGAGAUUAGCCUGUAUUGUAUCAGUUAGUUGGUGGGGUAAUGGCCUACCAAGACGAUGACGCAUAACUGGUUUGGGAGGAUGAUCAGUCAAACUGGAACUGAGACACGGUCCAGACUCCUACGGGAGGCAGCAGUGGGGAAUAUUGCACAAUGGACGAAAGUCUGAUGCAGCAACGCCGCGUGGAGGAUGACACAUUUCGGUGCGUAAACUCCUUUUAUAUAAGAAGAUAAUGACGGUAUUAUAUGAAUAAGCACCGGCUAACUCCGUGCCAGCCGCCGCAGUAA
rnacentral:rRNA from 1 species